rnacentral:rRNA from 1 species
UGGUGGAUGCCUUGGCGUCAAGAGGCGAUGAAGGACGUGGCACUCUGCGAUAAGCUUCGGGGAGGGGAGAGCACCCUUUGAUCCGGAGAUCUCCGAAUGGGGCAACCCACCGCUAUAGCGGUAUCGCAUGCUGAAUACAUAGGCAUGCGAGGCAAACCCGGCGAAGUGAAACAUCUCAGUAGCCGGAGGAAAGGACAUCAACCGAGACUCCGUUAGUAGUGGCGAGCGAACGCGGACCAGGCCAGUGGCUGGAUUGUAAGAACCGGAACCUUCUGGAAAGUAGGGCCAUAGCGGGUGAUAGCCCCGUACGGGUAGAAAGCAGUUCAGUCCUCGAGUAGGGCGGGACACGUGAAAUCCUGUCUGAACGUGGGGGGACCACCCUCCAAGCCUAAGUACUCGUGCAUGACCGAUAGCGAACAAGUACCGUGAGGGAAAGGUGAAAAGCACCCCGACGAGGGGAGUGAAACAGUACCUGAAACCGAAUGCUUACAAGCAGUUGGAGCCCCAUAGGGGGUGACAGCGUACCUCUUGCAUAAUGGGUCAGUGACUUAAUUUAUCGAGCAAGCUUAAGCCGUUAGGUGUAGGCGGAGCGAAAGCGAGUGUUAAUAGCGCGAUGUAGUUCGUAGGAUCAGACCCGAAACCCGGUGAUCUAGCCAUGAGCAGGUUGAAGGUGCGGUAACACGUACUGGAGGACCGAACCCACUUAUGUUGA